rnacentral:tRNA from 1 species
UGCGGGGUGGAGCAGUGGCAGCUCGUUGGGCUCAUAACCCAAAGGUCACAGGUUCGAAUCCUGUCCCCGCUA